rnacentral:rRNA from 1 species
CCUACGGGAGGCAGCAGUGGGGAAUAUUGGGCAAUGGGCGCAAGCCUGACCCAGCAACGACGCGUGAAGGAAGAAGGCUUUCGGGUUGUAAACUUCUUUUAAGAGGGAAGAGCAGAAGACGGUACCUCUUGAAUAAGCCACGGCUAACUACGUGCCAGCAGCCGCGGUAAUACGUAGGUGGCAAGCGUUGUCCGGAUUUACUGGGUGUAAAGGGCGUGUAGCCGGGCUGACAAGUCAGAUGUGAAAUUCCGGGGCUCAACCCCGGACCUGCAUUUGAAACUGUUGGUCUUGAGUAUCGGAGAGGCAGGCGGAAUUCCUGGUGUAGCGGUGAAAUGCAUAGAUAUCAGGAGGAACACCGGUGGCGAAGGCGGCCUGCUGGACUGCAACUGACGUUGAGGCCCGAAAGCGUGGGGAGCAAACAGGAUUAGAUACCCGUGUAGUC